rnacentral:rRNA from 1 species
GAUGAACGCUGGCGGCGUGCCUAACACAUGCAAGUCGAGCGAUUCUCUUCGGAGAAGAGCGGCGGACGGGUGAGUAACGCGUGGGUAACCUGCCCUGUACACACGGAUAACAUACCGAAAGGUAUGCUAAUACGGGAUAACAUAAGAAAUUCGCAUGUUUUUCUUAUCAAAGCUCCGGCGGUACAGGAUGGACCCGCGUCUGAUUAGCUAGUUGGUGAGGUAAUGGCUCACCAAGGCGACGAUCAGUAGCCGACCUGAGAGGGUGAUCGGCCACAUUGGAACUGAGACACGGUCCAAACUCCUACGGGAGGCAGCAGUGGGGAAUAUUGCACAAUGGGCGAAAGCCUGAUGCAGCAACGCCGCGUGAGCGAUGAAGGCCUUCGGGUCGUAAAGCUCUGUCCUCAAGGAAGAUAAUGACGGUACUUGAGGAGGA